AGUCGUAACAAGGUCUCCGUUGGUGAACCAGCGGAGGGAUCAUUACCGAGUUUACAACUCCCAAACCCAAUGUGAACCAUACCAAACUGUUGCCUCGGCGGGGUCACGCCCCGGGUGCGUCGCAGCCCCGGAACCAGGCGCCCGCCGGAGGGACCAACCAAACUCUUUCUGUAGUCCCCUCGCGGACGUUAUUUUUACAGCUCUGAGCAAAAAUUCAAAAUGAAUCAAAACUUUCAACAACGGAUCUCUUGGUUCUGGCAUCGAUGAAGAACGCAGCGAAAUGCGAUAAGUAAUGUGAAUUGCAGAAUUCAGUGAAUCAUCGAAUCUUUGAACGCACAUUGCGCCCGCCAGUAUUCUGGCGGGCAUGCCUGUCCGAGCGUCAUUUCAACCCUCGAACCCCUCCGGGGGUCCGGCGUUGGGGAUCGGGAACCCCUAAGACGGGAUCCCGGCCCCGAAAUACAGUGGCGGUCUCGCCGCAGCCUCUCAUGCGCAGUAGUUUGCACAACUCGCACCGGGAGCGCGGCGCGUCCACGUCCGUAAAACACCCAACUUCUGAAAUGUUGACCUCGGAUCAGGUAGGAAUACCCGCUGAACUUAAGCAUAUCAAUAAGCGGAGGAA
rnacentral:misc_RNA from 1 species